rnacentral:siRNA from 1 species
ACAAAAUCACUUCUGCAUCUACA